rnacentral:misc_RNA from 1 species
AAGGACUACACGGGUAUCUAAUCCUGUUUGCUACCCACGCUUUCGCACCUCAGCGUCAAUGUUGGUCCAGAUAGUCGCCUUCGCCACUGGUAUUCUUUCCAAUAUCUACGAAUUUCACCUCUACACUGGAAAUUCUAUUAUCCUCUACCAAAUUCUAGAUCACUAGUUUUAAAUGCAGUUCCUAAGUUAAGCCUAGGGAUUUCACAUCUAACUUUUUGAUCCGCCUACGCGCGCUUUACGCCCAGUGAUUCCGAACAACGCUAGCCCCCUCCGUAUUACCGCGGCUGCUGGCACGGAGUUAGCCGGGGCUUCUUCUUCAGUUACCGCCAUUAUCGUCACUGAUGAAAGAGUUUUACAACCCGAAGGCCUUCUUCACUCACGCGGCAUUGCUGGAUCAGGG